UACAGAGGGUGCGAGCGUUAAUCGGAAUUACUGGGCGUAAAGCGCGCGUAGGCGGCUUUGCAAGUCGAGUGUGAAACUCCCCAGGCUCAACCCUGGGGAACUGCAUUCGAGACUGCAUAGCUAGAGUAUGGGAGAGGGAAGUGGAAUUUCAGGUGUAGCGGUGAAAUGCGUAGAUAUCUGAAGGAACAUCAGGUGGCGAAAGCGACUUCCUGGACCAAUACUGGACGCUCAUGUGCGAAAGCGUGGGGAGCCAAACAGGAUUAGAA
rnacentral:rRNA from 1 species